rfam:Setaria italica strain Yugu1 chromosome VII, whole genome shotgun sequence.
AAAAUAGAAGAUGAUGAGAUGGUCUCCUUCAUACUCACCGGAUUAGAUGCGGACUAUAAUCCAAUUGUGACUUCGGUUAUGGGAAGGUUGGAUCCAAUUCCCUUGUCUGAAUUAUAUGCCCAAGUAAUGUCGUAUG